rnacentral:tRNA from 1 species
UCAGGGCUGGCUGAGCUAGCCAAGCAUCUCACUUACACCGAGAAGACAUCCA